GACGAACGCUGGCGGCGUGCCUAAUACAUGCAAGUCGAACGCAGUGGGGACGGGUGAGUAACACGUGGGUAACCUCCCAUCAGAGGGGAUAACACUUGGAAAAAGGUGCUAAACCGGUACUGAUGGAUGGACCCGCGGGGCAUUAGCUAGUUGGUGAGGUAACGGCUCACCAAGGCCACGAUGCAUAGCCGAUCUGAGAGGGAGAUGAGCCACACUGGGACUGAGACACGGCCCAGACUCCUACGGGAGGCAGCAGUGGGGAAUCUUCGGCAAUGGGCGAAAGUCUGACCGAGCCACCCCGCGUGAAUGAUGAAGGCUUUCGGAUUGUAAAACUCUGUUGUUAGGGAAGCGGUAACUAACCAGAAAGGGACGGCUAACUACGUGCCAGCAGCCGCGGUAAUAC
rnacentral:rRNA from 1 species